UACGUAGGUGGCAAGCGUUGUCCGGAAUUACUGGGUGUAAAGCGCGUGUAGGCGGCAGACCAAGUCGGCGGUGAAAGCGCCCGGCUCAACUGGGCGAGGUCCGUGGAAACUGGUCAGCUGGAGGACGGUAGAGGCGAGUGGAAUUCCCGGUGUAGUGGUGAAAUGCGUAGAGAUCGGGAGGAACACCUGUGGCGAAGGCGGCUCGCUGGGCCGGUCCUGACGCUGAGACGCGAAGGCGUGGGGAGCGAACGGG
rnacentral:rRNA from 2 species